UCGGAACGUGCCCAGUCGUGGGGGAUAACGUAGCGAAAGUUACGCUAANACCGCAUACGAUCUUACGGAUGAAAGCGGGGGAUCGCAAGACCUCGCGCGAUUGGAGCGGCCGAUAUCAGAUUAGGUAGUUGGUGGGGUAAAAGGCUCACCAAGCCAACGAUCUGUAGCUGGUCUGAGAGGACGACCAGCCACACUGGAACUGAGACACGGUCCCAGACUCCUUACGGGAGGCAGCAGUGGGGAAUUUUGGACAAUGGACGCAAGUCUGAUCCAGCCAUUCCGCGUGCAGGAUGAAGGCCCUCGGGUUGUAAAGCACUUUCAGUGGGGAGGAAGGGGUGAUGCCUAAUACGCAUCAUCAUUGACGUUACCCACAGAAGAAGCACCGGCUAACUCCGUG
rnacentral:rRNA from 1 species